GACUUGUAAAGCCUGAAAUCCUAAAAGGAUAUCCUGGCUUUAACCAAGUCUCUUGUAGAGCUAUUAUAAAAGGAUUAUAUUUAUUAAUCAAAUAAAAUAAGUCUGAUUUCUUAUUUGUUAUGCUACGACAGUUCCACUGAAUUAUUUGGACUUUGUAAUCCAUUGUGAGAAGUUAAUAAUUGAGAAAAUACAUUGUACAUGGCAUCGUUGGACGGUGGUAAAGUUGAAAGAAGAUUGAAAAUGAGAUUUAUUGGAAGGAGAUGAUGAUGUUAAUACAUCUGAAUAUAGUUUAGAAGUUGGAGGAUGAAAUUUUGAUGCUUCAGCAUAAGAAACACAACUAUGGGCCAUUGUUUCUUUAAUGACUUUCUGACGUGCAUAUUCAGGACAUUUUUUACUAAUUGUUGAAUGAGAACCAUUACACAAGAUACAAGAAACAUUUUCCUCAUCUACUUCACAUUUAUCACCUGUAUGAUUUUGCCUGCAUUUAUAACACCGAGGAUUUGAACGACACUGCAUCUUGACAUGUCCGAACCUACAGCAGUUAUAGCAUUGGAUAGUAGGGUAAAUGUACAAAUCUACAGUUAAUGAUGUGUAAAACAUAAAUACUCUUUUUGGCAAUAUUUGUCCAUCAAAAGUAAUAACAAUGGUUUCAGUAUUAAUAAAACUUGGUUGUCCUUCA